UUUUUCAUUUAAAUAGUUAACCAGUGUUUAUUUACGUUGUGCAGUCAUGAAAAACAAGUAAACAAAUACAAACUAGUGCGUAUUUUUGCGCCUGACCCAAAUCAGGAGCCUCUGGCCUUGUUAGUCUUAAAUUAUUUUUUAUUUUAGUUUCUUGUGUACAAUUUGGAGUUUAGUAUGGCGUUCAAUAUCACUGAACUAGUAUACAUAUUUGUUUAGAGGCCAGCUGAAGGACACCUGCGUGUUCGUGAAUUUCUCGCAUUGAAGACCUGUUGGUGACCUUCUGUCGUUGUCUGCUCUAUGGUCGGGUUGUUAUCUCUUUGACACAAUCCCCUUUUCCAUUCUCAAUUUAAGUAACCUGCAAAUACCUAAAGAAAAACUAAAACUAAGAUGUACUAGAUAUUCCAUAAUCAAAGACACAACAGAAUUGUUUUACAAAUUCUAUGCCCAAGGUGCAUAAAACAGAUAAUUUAGCCUAUUAAGUCUAUGUUAAUGUAUGCCAAC
rnacentral:lncRNA from 1 species